AGCGGCCGGGCGGCGGCCCGAGGCGCUCGGCAUACGGGUAGGGGAAGUCGGCGAACCACCAGGGCUCCAGGCCACCGAGCGAUGCUCCGCCCAGGCUCUCCGAGUCCUCGGAGUCCGAAGGCGAAGGCUCGAGGUCCAGGUGCCUCCCGGCUUCCUUUCCUACCCUGGAGAAGGCCAGUAGGAAAUCCAUGCGGUGGGUGGGACCCAGGCAAUGCCGCAGGCGCCAGUACACCAGAUGUUCCCAGGCGAAGACCAGCAAGGAGAGGCCCAUGGCCACAAGGAGCAUGUAGAAGACACCUGCCAUGUUGUCGAUAUCCAGCUUGCUACUCAUCACUUCGAUUUUGUCAUUGUGGCAGAUCCCUGAAAGCCACAGCCGCUCCAGCAUCUCAAUCUCAUCUGAGGAUGGAGUCAGAGUCACUUAUGAGCACAUCCUCCUCUGAUACGGAGUGCAGGCCCCAGCCCCGUCCAUUCUUGAAAACCCUCCUCCCCAGGACCGAGGGCCAGCCCUCCCCUCUCCAGAGUAGGACCUCAUGCCCAGCAUAGCCGCACCGUCCCCCAGGAACUGCAGCAGCGCCAGGUCGAUGGGCCUCUUCCAGCGGGAGCCCUUGUGUAGGGCGAUGCCAUAACCAGUGGUGGCGAAGACCUUGCCGGAGCCGAUGGUGACCAGCUUGCAGCCCUCAUCCUUGCGGGCCAUGUAGUUGAGCACUGCUGCGUCAUAGAUGAAGGCGUCCAGUUUCCUGUGGACAGGGACAUGGAAGAUAGGUUCAGUCCCAUUUUGAUAACCUCACAGCACUCCAGGAACACCUAUAACCUGCAACUGCCCAGGAGCCCCUGAGCACAUAUUCCUCGUGCCUCUUUUGAACAUUGGUAAAACAAGCAUUGUUCUAAAUACCACCGAGGCCAAGCUUCUGCAGAAGUGAUAGAGCCUGGUAGGAAAUCAGUGCUGGAGCAAUGACAGCCAUUGUAACUAUCAAGGGAACAGGCUCUUAAUCCUCAUUAUCUCUUUCCAAAGAAGAUACUGGUUUAUUUUCUUUUCCUCUCUGUAGCCUUGGUUAUCCUGGAACUCAUUCUGUAGACCAUGGCUGGCCUCGAAUUUAUAGAAAUCCACCUGUUUCUGCCUCCCAAGUGCUGGGAUUAAAGGCCUGUGCCACCACCA